UACGUAGGGGGCAAGCGUUGUCCGGAUUUAUUGGGCGUAAAGAGCGUGUAGGCGGCCAUGUAGGUCCGUUGUGAAAACUCGAGGCUCAACCUCGAGACGCCGAUGGAAACCAUGUGGCUAGAGUCCGGAAGAGGAGAGUGGAAUUCUCGGUGUAGAGGUGAAAUUCGUAGAUAUCGAGAGGAACACCGGUGGCGAAGGCGGCCAACUGGACGAAUACUGACGCUGAGACACGAAAGCGUGGGGAGCAAACAGG
rnacentral:rRNA from 1 species